AGCAGCCGCGGUAAUUCCAGCUCCAAUAGCGUAUAUUAAAGUUGUUGCAGUUAAAAAGCUCGUAGUUGAAUUUCGGGAUCAGUACGCCGGUCGUGCCUUCGGUAUGCACUGGUGUCACUGGUUUCUCCCUUCUGAAGAACCAUCAUGCCAUUAAGUUGGUGUGGCGGGAAAUCAGGACUGUUACUUUGAAAAAUUAGAGUGUUUAAAGCAGGCUCGCGCUUGAAUACAUUAGCAUGGAAUAAUGAAAUAGGACGUUUGACCCUAUUUUGUUGGUUUCUAGGAUCGACGUAAUGAUUAAUAGGGAUAGUUGGGGGCAUUAGUAUUCAAUUGUCAGAGGUGAAAUUCUUGGAUUUAUUGAAGACUAACUACUGCGAAAGCAUUUGCCAAGGAUGUUUUCAUUAAUCAAGAACGAAAGUUAGGGGAUCGAAGACGAUCAGAUACCGUCGUAGUCUUAACCAUAAACUAUGCCGACUAGGGAUCGGAUGAUGUUAAUUUUUAAUGACUCAUUCGGCGCCUUAAC
rnacentral:misc_RNA from 1 species